rnacentral:rRNA from 1 species
AUGAACGCUGGCGGCGUGCCUAAUACAUGCAAGUCGAGCGAACGGACGAGAAGCUUGCUUCUCUGAUGUUAGCGGCGGACGGGUGAGUAACACGUGGAUAGCCUACCUAUAAGACUGGGAUAACUUCGGGAAACCGUAGCUAAUACCGGAUAAUAUUUUGAACCGCAUGGUUCAAAAGUGAAAGACGGUCUUGCUGUCACUUAUAGAUGGAUCCGCGCUGCAUUAGCUAGUUGGUAAGGUAACGGCUUACCAAGGCAACGAUGCAUAGCCGACCUGAGAGGGUGAUCGGCCACACUGGAACUGAGACACGGUCCAGACUCCUACGGGAGGCAGCAGUAGGGAAUCUUCCGCAAUGGGCGAAAGCCUGACGGAGCAACGCCGCGUGAGUGAUGAAGGUCUUCGGAUCGUAAAACUCUGUUAUUAGGGAAGAACAUAUGUGUAAGUAACUGUGCACAUCUUGACGGUACCUAAUCAGAAAGCCACGGCUAACUACGUG